rnacentral:rRNA from 1 species
UACAGAGGGUGCGAGCGUUGUCCGGAAUCACUGGGCGUAAAGGGCGCGUAGGUGGCGGGCCAAGUCCAUGGUGAAAGCUCGAUGCUCAACAUCGAGUCGGCCACGGAUACUGGUGCGCUGGAGCACUGUAGAGGCAGAUGGAAUUCCGGGUGUAGCGGUGGAAUGCGUAGAGAUCCGGAAGAACACCGGUGGCGAAGGCGGUCUGCUGGGCAGUUGCUGACACUGAGGCGCGACAGCGUGGGGAGCAAACAGG